rnacentral:rRNA from 1 species
CAAUAGCGUAUAUUUAAGUUGUUGCAGUUAAAAAGCUCGUAGUGGAUUUUGGGUCGGGGGCACCGGUCCGCCGUUCCGGUGUGCACUGGUGGCCCCUUCCUUUCUGCCGGGGACGUGCGUCGCACUUAAUUGGGUGGCGUUCGGAGUCGGCGUUGUUACUUUGAAAAAAUUAGAGUGUUCAAAGCAAGCCAUCGCUCUGAAUACAUUAGCAUGGAAUAACAUGAUAGGACUCCGGUCUUAUUUUGUUGGUUUCCGAGACUGGAGUAAUGAUUAAGAGGGACAGUCGGAGGCAUCCGUAUUUCAUUGUCAGAGGUGAAAUUCUUGGAUUUAUGAAAGACGAACUUCUGCGAAAGCAUUUGCCAAGGAUGUUUUCAUUG